rnacentral:rRNA from 1 species
GGGAAUCUGCCCUUCGGUUGGGAAUAACUGAGAGAAAUUUCAGCUAAUACCUUAUAAUGUCUUCGGACCAAAGAUUUAUCGCCGAGGGAUGAGCCCGCGUAGGAUUAGCUAGUUGGUGGGGUAAUGGCCUACCGAGGCGACGAUCCUUAGCUGGUCUGAGAGGAUGAUCAGCCACACUGGGACUGAGACACGGCCCAGACUCCUACGGGAGGCAGCAGUGGGGAAUAUUGGACAAUGGGCGAAAGCCUGAUCCAGCAAUGCCGCGUGAGUGAUGAAGGCCUUAGGGUUGUAAAGCUCUUUUACCAGGGAUGAUAAUGACAGUACCUGGAGAAUAAGCUCCGGCUAACUCCGUGCCAGCAGCCGCGGUAAUACGGAGGGAGCUAGCGUUGUUCGGAAUUACUGGGCGUAAAGCGCGCGUAGGCGGCUGUUCAAGUCAGAGGUGAAAGCCCGGGGCUCAACCCCGGAACUGCCUUUGAAACUAGAUAGCUAGAAUCAUGGAGAGGUCAGUGGAAUUCCGAGU